rnacentral:rRNA from 1 species
AUUGAACGCUGGCGGCAGGCCUAACACAUGCAAGUCGAGCGGAUGAAGGGAGCUUGCUCCUGGAUUCAGCGGCGGACGGGUGAGUAAUGCCUAGGAAUCUGCCUGGUAGUGGAGGAUAACGUCCGGAAACGGGCGCUAAUACCGCAUACGUCCUGAGGGAGAAAGUGGGGGAUCUUCGGACCUCACGCUAUCAGAUGAGCCUAGGUCGGAUUAGCUAGUUGGUGGGGUAAAGGCCUACCAAGGCGACGAUCCGUAACUGGUCUGAGAGGAUGAUCAGUCACACUGGAACUGAGACACGGUCCAGACUCCUACGGGGGGCAGCAGUGGGGAAUAUUGGACAAUGGGCGAAAGCCUGAUCCAGCCAUGCCGCGUGUGUGAAGAAGGUCUUCGGAUUGUAAAGCACUUUAAGUUGGGAGGAAGGGCAGUAAGUUAAUACCUUGCUGUUUUGACGUUACCAACAGAAUAAGCACCGGCUAACUUCGUG